GACAGAGGCCUCGAGCGUUAUGCGGAAUCACUGGGCUUAAAGCGUGUGUAGGCGGCUCGUUAAGUACCUUGUGAAAUCCCACGGCUCAACCGUGGAACGGCGGGGUAUACUGGCGGUCUUGGGCCCUCUAGGGGCGACCGGAACAAACGGUGGAGCGGUGAAAUGCGUAGAUAUCCGGAGGAACACCGGUGGCGAAGGCGGCUUCCUGGACCGACACUGACGCUGAGGCGCGAAAGCGUGGGGAGCAAACAGG
rnacentral:rRNA from 1 species